UACGUAGGGGGCAAGCGUUGUCCGGAAUCAUUGGGCGUAAAGCGCGUGUAGGCGGCUCGGUAAGUCUGCUCUGAAAGCCCGGGGCUCAACCCUGGGAGGCGGGUGGAUACUGCUGAGCUCGAGUCCGGAAGAGGCGAGUGGAAUUCCUGGUGUAGCGGUGAAAUGCGCAGAUAUCAGGAGGAACACCAAUGGCGAAGGCAGCUCGCUGGAACGGUACUGACGCUGAGGCGCGAAAGCGUGGGGAGCAAACAGG
rnacentral:rRNA from 1 species